GACAGAGGGUGCAACCGUUGCUCGGAAUUACUGGGCGUAAAGCGCGUGUAGGCUGACCGGAAAGUCGGGCGUGAAAUCCCUGGGCUCAACCCAGGAACUGCACUCGAAACUCCCGGUCUUGAGUGGUGGAGAGGGAAGUGGAAUUCCUGGUGUAGAGGUGAAAUUCGUAGAUAUCAGGAGGAACACCAGUGGCGAAGGCGGCUUCCUGGACACCAACUGACGCUGAGACGCGAAAGCGUGGGGAGCAAACAGG
rnacentral:rRNA from 1 species